rnacentral:rRNA from 1 species
GUGGGGAAUCUUAGACAAUGGGGGAAACCCUGAUCUAGCCAUGCCGCGUGAGCGAAGAAGGCCUUAGGGUUGUAAAGCUCUUUCAGCUGGGAAGAUAAUGACGGUACCAGCAGAAGAAGCCCCGGCUAACUCCGUGCCAGCAGCCGCGGUAAUACGGAGGGGGCUAGCGUUGUUCGGAAUUACUGGGCGUAAAGCGCGCGUAGGCGGACCAGAAAGUUGGAGGUGAAAUCCCAGGGCUCAACCUUGGAACUGCCUUCAAAACUCCUGGUCUGGAGUUCGAGAGAGGUGAGUGGAAUUCCGAGUGUAGAGGUGAAAUUCGUAGAUAUUCGGAGGAACACCAGUGGCGAAGGCGGCUCACUGGCUCGAUACUGACGCUGAGGUGCGAAAGCGUGGGGAGCAAACAGGAUUAGAUACCCUAGUAGUCC